rnacentral:rRNA from 1 species
UACAGAGGUCUCAAGCGUUGUUCGGAUUCAUUGGGCGUAAAGGGUGCGUAGGCGGCGAAGCAAGUCAGGUGUGAAAUCCCGGAGCUUAACUCCGGAACUGCACUUGAUACUGCUUUGCUUGAGGACUGGAGAGGAGAUCGGAAUUCACGGUGUAGCAGUGAAAUGCGUAGAUAUCGUGAGGAAGGCCAGUGGCGAAGGCGGAUCUCUGGACAGUUCCUGACGCUGAGGCACGAAGGCCAGGGGAGCGAACGGG